AUUUCACUUGAUUGCGGAAUGUGGAGAAAAUUGAGAGAAAAUAACAAAAUGCCUAGUGAGAAAGUGUAGAGAAGUGAAUGAAUAAAGCCAACACUGCCUUCUGCCCAAAAAAGCCUGUUAUUGCUGCCUUCACAUGAUUACUAUCCAAAAAAAGCCUAAGAUUCUGCCUUACAAGAAUAAUGGCCUUUAAGUAAUGGCCAUUAAACACCCAAUUUUAAAAAUUCAUCAUUUAUCGUUCAAAACGGUAAUGGUAGGUUAAUUUUCCUUAAAUAACAUGUAACGGCCGCUAUUUAAAACCAUGGUGGGAAAUGUAAGUUAAGU
rnacentral:misc_RNA from 1 species